UCUGGUCGAACAAGCACGCCAGGGGCGAUCCCCACUCUCUCAAAACCCUAGCUUCACAAAUUUGAUCAAUUGAAGGUUAAUCCUUGCCCCAAAUUGAAAUCUGAACAGAGAUUCGUGAUCCUCAUCACAAGGGGGUUACAAGGAAAGGAUACCGGAACGUCAAGUGAACAAGCUGGUGGUGAUUUGCGGUUGAAGGGUUUGCUCUAAAGGUAUGUAACUUGACCCGUUACAUUAAGUAGAUUGGAUGAUUAUUAAAUGCGUGAUGAGGUGAAUCUUAUGGAUGACGGUCAAGCAACGUAGAAGAACCGAACACGACUUUUGAAGCUUCCGCAAUGUUUUAAUCUUACUUAGACUUUGUUCACGGGUUGUAAACAAUUUCUUAAUCAACUUUUAAAACGUUCCAACUUAGUCAUUACUUGACUAAAGUUGACGUACUUAUGAACUCCAUUAAGGAAUGUUUUGUUACGUAACCAAUAUUUUAGUUGAAAUGGUGUAUUUUAUUUCUAAAAUCAAGUGAAAAAUUUAAGGGU
rnacentral:lncRNA from 1 species